AGACGAGGCUACCGCCUCUCCUCAGCCCGAACGGCAUCGAAGUAACGACUGGAUUGAUUAAACUAGAUAAAAAACUGUAG
rnacentral:ncRNA from 1 species